rnacentral:rRNA from 1 species
UACGUAGGGUGCGAGCGUUGUCCGGAAUUAUUGGGCGUAAAGAGCUUGUAGGCGGUUUGUCGCGUCUGCCGUGAAAAUCCGGGGCUCAACCUCGGGCCUGCAGUCGAUACGGGCAGACUAGAGUGCUGUAGGGGAGACUGGAAUUCCUGGUGUAGCGGUGGAAUGCGCAGAUAUCAGGAGGAACACUCGUGGCGAAAGCGAGCUACUGGACAAUUCCUGACGCUGAGGCUCGAAGGCUAGGGUAGCGAAAGGG